rnacentral:rRNA from 1 species
UGCUGCUUCGCUGACGAGUGGCGGACGGGUGAGUAAUGUCUGGGAAACUGCCUGAUGGAGGGGGAUAACUACUGGAAACGGUGGCUAAUACCGCAUAACGUCGCAAGACCAAAGAGGGGGACCUUCGGGCCUCUUGCCAUCAGAUGUGCCCAGAUGGGAUUAGCUUGUUGGUGAGGUAACGGCUCACCAAGGCGACGAUCCCUAGCUGGUCUGAGAGGAUGACCAGCCACACUGGAACUGAGACACGGUCCAGACUCCUACGGGAGGCAGCAGUGGGGAAUAUUGCACAAUGGGCGCAAGCCUGAUGCAGCCAUGCCGCGUGUAUGAAGAAGGCCUUCGGGUUGUAAAGUACUUUCAGCGGGGAGGAAGGUGUUGUGGUUAAUAACCGCAGCAAUUGACGUUACCCGCAGAAGAAGCACCGGCUAACUCCGUGCCAGCAGCCGCGGUAAUACGGAGGGUGCAAGCGUUAAUCGGAAUUACUGGGCGUAAAGCGCACGCAG